rnacentral:lncRNA from 1 species
UUCUGCAACCGGAGUAUCCCUGAUGACAGUAACCUGUUGGUGUAGUCGUUCGAAUGCAGAAGUAGAGUCCUCACUUGUGUGAGUCGUCCGAAAAUCUCCGGUAUUUCACCCCCAUAUGUUCCGGCUUAGAUCCAAGAGCUUCAAGUUUUUCAAAUCAAGUAACGAAUCGAGAAGUUCUUUCGUAAGUGAGUUGUUGCCUAAAAACUACUUUUGA